rnacentral:lncRNA from 1 species
ACCAGCUUUUAAGGGAUCUGCUCCCAUUAAUCUAUCAGAUAGGUUGCACCAAGUUCUGCGAUGGGCACUAGGCUCUAUUGAGAUUUUCCUUAGUCAUCACUGUCCUCUAUGGUAUGGCUAUGGAGGAAAGUUGAAGUUGCUGGAGAGGCUUGCUUACAUCAACACCAUCGUUUACCCUUUCACCUCCAUUCCCUUACUUGCCUACUGUACUAUUCCAGCAGUCUGCCUUCUGACAGGAAAAUUUAUCAUCCCUACUGUAAGUGAUACUGAAUUGUAUUGCAGAGAUUAACACAUUGAAAACAAUGUCAUUCCUCCAUCCACAGCUAUUCUUUUUUGUCUCUUCCAAUAGUAUUAAUUUUAACCAAAUUUAUUUUUUUUCUUUGCAGCUGAACAACCUUGCUAGCAUAUGGUUCCUAGCCCUUUUCAUCUCAAUCAUAGCAACAUCUGUGUUAGAACUUCGAUGGAGUGGAGUCAGCAUCCAGGACUUGUGGCGUAAUGAGCAAUUUUGGGUUAUCGGCGGUGUCUCAG